rnacentral:rRNA from 1 species
AGAUUGAACGCUGGCGGCAGGCCUAACACAUGCAAGUCGAGCGGCAGCACGGGUACUUGUACCUGGUGGCGAGCGGCGGACGGGUGAGUAAUGCCUAGGAAUCUGCCUGAUAGUGGGGGAUAACGCUCGGAAACGGACGCUAAUACCGCAUACGUCCUACGGGAGAAAGCGAGGGGACCUUCGGGCCUUGCGCUAUCAGAUGAGCCUAGGUCGGAUUAGCUAGUUGGUGGGGUAAUGGCUCACCAAGGCGACGAUCCGGUAACUGGGUCUGAGAGGAUUGAUCAGUCACACUGGAACUGAGACACGGUCCAGACCUCCGUACGGGAGGCAGCAGGUGGGAAUAUUGGACAAGUGGGACAAGCCUGAUCCAGCCAUGCGCGUGUGUGAAGAGGUCUU